GUGCCAGCCGCCGCGGUAAUACGGAGGGAGCUAGCGUUGUUCGGAAUUACUGGGCGUAAAGCGCGCGUAGGCGGCGUAUCAAGUCAGGGGUGAAAUCCCGGGGCUUAACCCCGGAACUGCCUCUGAAACUAGUAUGCUAGAAUCCUGGAGAGGCGAGUGGAAUUCCGAGUGUAGAGGUGAAAUUCGUAGAUAUUCGGAAGAACACCAGUGGCGAAGGCGACUCGCUGGACAGGUAUUGACGCUGAGGUGCGAAAGCGUGGGGAGCAAACAGGAUUAGAAACCCGGUAGUCC
rnacentral:rRNA from 1 species